AACGAACGCUGGCGGCAGGCUUAACACAUGCAAGUUGAACGGUAAGGAAUUGUGCUUGCACGAUUUCUGAGAGUGGCGCACGGGUGAGUAAUACAUGGGGGACAUACCCUGAAGUGGGGAAUAACAUUUGGAAACGAAUGCUAAUACCGCAUAAUCCCUGCGGGGGAAAGAUUUAUCGCUUUAGGAAUGGCCCAUGGCAGAUUAGGCAGUUGGUGGGGUAACGGCUCACCAAACCGACGAUCUGUAGCUGGUCUGAGAGGACGAUCAGCCACACUGGAACUGAGACACGGUCCAG
rnacentral:rRNA from 1 species